GACGAACGCUGGCGGCGUGCUUAACACAUGCAAGUCGAACGGAAAGGCCCUGCUUUUGUGGGGUGCUCGAGUGGCGAACGGGUGAGUAACACGUGAGUAACCUGCCCUUGACUUUGGGAUAACUUCAGGAAACUGGGGCUAAUACCGGAUAGGAGCUCCUGCUGCAUGGUGGGGGUUGGAAAGUUUCGGCGGUUGGGGAUGGACUCGCGGCUUAUCAGCUUGUUGGUGGGGUAGUGGCUUACCAAGGCUUUGACGGGUAGCCGGCCUGAGAGGGUGACCGGCCACAUUGGGACUGAGAUACGGCCCAGACUCCUACGGGAGGCAACAGUGGGGAAUAUUGCACAAUGGGCGGAAGCCUGAUGCAGCAACGCCGCGUGCGGGAAGACGGCCUUCGGGUUAUAAACCGCUUUCGCCUGUGACGAAGCGUGAGUGACGGUAAUGAGUAAAGAAGCACCGGCUAACUACGUG
rnacentral:rRNA from 1 species